AACAGCUCAAAUUUGAAAUCUGGCCCUCGGGUCCGAGUUGUAAUUUGUAGAGGAUGCUUUUGGUGCGGUGCCUUCCGAGUUCCCUGGAACGGGACGCCUUAGAGGGUGAGAGCCCCGUACGGUUGGACGCCUAGCCUCUGUAAAGCUCCUUCGACGAGUCGAGUAGUUUGGGAAUGCUGCUCUAAAUGGGAGGUAUAUUUCUUCUAAAGCUAAAUACUGGCCAGAGACCGAUAGCGCACAAGUAGAGUGAUCGAAAGAUGAAAAGCACUUUGAAAAGAGGGUUAAAUAGCACGUGAAAUUGUUGAAAGGGAAGCGUUUAUCACCAGACUUUUUCUAGGGGGAUCAUCCGGUGUUCUCACCGGUGCACUUCCCCUAGUUGAGGCCAGCAUCGGUUUUCGGAGGGGGAUAAAAGUUUCGGGAAUGUGACUCCCCCGGGAGUGUUAUAGCCCGUUACAUAAUACCCUUCUGGGGACCGAGGUUCGCGCAUCUGCAAGGAUGCUGGCAUAAUGGUGAUCAACGACCCGUCUUGAAACACGGACCAAGGAGUCGAACAUUUAUGCGAGUGUUUGGGUGUCAAACCCUCACGCGUAAUGAAAGUGAACGGAGGUGAGAGCCCUUACGGGUGCAUCAUCGACCGAUCCUGAUGUCUUCGGAUGGAUUUGAGUAAGAGCAUAACUGUUCGGACCCGAAAGAUGGUGAACUAUGCGUGGAUAGGGUGAAGCCAGGAGAAAUCCUGGUGGAGGCUCGCAGCGGUUCUGACGUGCAAAUCGAUCGUCGAAUCUGCGCAUGGGGGCGAAAGACUAAUCGAACCAUCUAGUAGCUGGUUACCGCCGAAGUUUCCCUCAGGAUAGCAGUGUUGUAUUCAGUUUUAUGAGGUAAAGCGAAUGAUUAGGGACUCGGGGGCGCUAUAUUGCCUUCAUCCAUUCUCAAACUUUAAAUAUGUAAGAAGCCCUUGUCGCUUAAUUGGACGUGGGCAUUCGAAUGUAUCAACACUAGUGGGCCAUUUUUGGUAAGCAGAACUGGCGAUGCGGGAUGAACCGAACGCGAGGUUAAGGUGCCAGAGUAGACGCUCAUCAGACACCACAAAAGGUGUUAGUACAUCUUGACAGCAGGACGGUGGCCAUGGAAGUCGGAAUCCGCUAAGGACUGUGUAACAACUCACCUGCCGAAUGUACUAGCCCUGAAAAUGGAUGGCGCUCAAGCGUCUCACCCAUACCUCGCCCUCA
rnacentral:rRNA from 1 species